GACGAACGCUGGCGGCGUGCCUAAUACAUGCAAGUAGAACGCUGAAGGAGGAGCUUGCUUCUCUGGAUGAGUUGCGAACGGGUGAGUAACGCGUAGGUAACCUGCCUGGUAGCGGGGGAUAACUAUUGGAAACGAUAGCUAAUACCGCAUAAUAGUAGAUGUUGCAUGACAUUUGCUUAAAAGGUGCAAUUGCAUCACUACCAGAUGGACCUGCGUUGUAUUAGCUAGUUGGUGGGGUAACGGCUCACCAAGGCGACGAUACAUAGCCGACCUGAGAGGGUGAUCGGCCACACUGGGACUGAGACACGGCCCAGACUCCUACGGGAGGCAGCAGUAGGGAAUCUUCGGCAAUGGACGGAAGUCUGACUGAGCAACGCCGCGUGAGUGAAGAAGGUUUUCGGAUCGUAAAGCUCUGUUGUAAGAGAAGAACGGGUGUGAGAGUGGAAAGUUCACACUGUGACGGUAUCUUAACAGAAAGGGACGGCUAACUACGUG
rnacentral:rRNA from 1 species